CUGUCCGGUUUGUUAUUGUCUAUAUGCUCUUGAGUAAUUUUUGUAUCGAAUUCUUAUUUAUUUUCCUUUUAUUGCAGGUUAGCGGAGAAUUCGUUGAAGAUACGAUACUGAGUAGAAAUAUUCGUUUUAAGGACAAAUUUUGCAGCUUAUUAAUGUGGCAACAGCACCGCGCUAAUUAUCCUUAUUAAUGCAGUGGCGUCAGGAGAAGGAGACGGCAUCAUAAAAUUGUCAACUUUUUGUGUUUAAAAUCGCGAAAGUUGGCGAUUUUAUUUUGUUUUUGCGGUGCCUGUCCCUUGUUGUCGGUUGCGUUGAAGGAUUUACGUGCGUGGCGUCAGGAGGAUGGAGUCGCAUAUAUGUAUCUGCUAGUUUGCCUGGCAAGUUUUGCGUUUUUCUGUUAUCGGAAGAUUAUUGAACAUACGAUACUGCGGAAAAUUAUGCAAUUUAGGGAAGGAUUUUGAGGCUUUUAAAUGUGGUGUCAGCGCCGCGCUAGUGAUCCUUGAUAAUGCAGUGGCAUCAGGAGGUGGAGACGGCGUCGUAAAAUUGUCAACUAAUGUAGACGCUCGUCGAUCUGGGAGAUUUUAAUUUUUACUUCGUACCCCCGCUGGAGGCUUCGAGAGUCAUUGGAUGUGAGUAUUAUUUGUGUUUUGGCAGGAAAUUAAUUGCGGACGCUUUAUGCGCGCCACUUGCAAUAUGUAUGUCCGGAAAGCGUUGCAGGUAGUUUAUUGGUGGUAAGUUUAUCCCGCGCCGCUGUCAUUUGGUGGUUUUCUCUUCCACCCUCAGUGGUAGAUGUUUGCAAUUAUUUAUUUAGUUUGUUAAAUUGCAGGUCAGCUUCGCCGGUCGUCGGGAAGAGGAAGCCUGAAGAAAGAUCCCGCACAGCGGUCGUCACGUAGUUUUGGAGCUGCUGCCAUUAUUGUGGUUGGAUAUGUCUCGUUUUGGCAGAGGAGUCGUCAGUGAUGAUUGUGGCUUGGUCGUUCAUCUAGAGUGGCUAGGUGCGCCGCGUUUUGUGGCCAUUUCGCCAGGGUUUGCAGCUUGGAGCCUCCGGAACGUGAUUAGUUGCCGAGGACCGUCGCAACGAUUGGAGCCGUGGAAAUGGAAGUAAAAUUAGAGAUUGGUUUUGUGUUUUUUCAGGUACAUUUGGUGGGAGGUACAUUAGGUGGAAGCUAAUCUGGUGGUAUUAUAAUUGUUUUUAUGGUUGCACUAAUAUUUUGUUUUUCAGGUACGUUUUGUAACUAAUUAGGAGGCCCUUUGUUUUUGAAACAUAGCAACGGAAGAGCCGCGGGUUUAGUGUCGUCGUUGUUGUUGCUGCUGGCUUCACUUUUAGAUACUGUUGCGCGCGCGCCUCUGUCUGUUUUAUAAUCUCAACUGACUUGCAAAAUUGGGCUAGGCGCGUAGGCGGGCUUUUUCUAUAGCUCAAAGGCACGGCGGAAUAUCGAUAUGUUAUCAAUUUCCCUGCAGCUCGUUAUCGAUAUUUCACGCCUUUUUUUUUGGCGGGCUUUUUGGCUAUUAUCUUUUUUGCCGCCAG